AUGGGCUGGAGCCGCUGGACUCCAUCUCCUUGCGCACUCGAUACUGUCUCGGGAGGCGCUUGCUGGAUUUGCCAUCGCCGUGAGGUGUUCGCGAGCGCUCCGCCGAGGAAGAAGACCGGUCGUGGCGCUUGCCGGACUUGUUAUCGCCGUGAGAUCUCUGGCGGCGCUCCGGCGAGGAAGAAGACCGGUCGUACCUGCUCGAAUUGCUAUCUUGGGGAGGAGUUCGGGAGCGCUCCGGCGAGGAGGAAGAAGACCGGUCGUAACGCCUGCUGGACCUGCUAUUGCCGUGACAUCUCCGGGAGCGCUUCUGCGAAGGGGAGGCCCGGUCGUCCUGUCUUCUUGACUUGCGACCGCGGUGAGGCAUACGGGCGCGCUCCGGCGAAGCGGAAGCCCGCGCGCGGCGCUUCCUGUCGUCGCGGUGGUCUCGAUCACGCGCGCGGCGCUUCCUGUCGUCGCGGUGGUCUCCAUCAGCGGCCCCUUUCUCUGCCGCCAUGA
rnacentral:rRNA from 1 species